rnacentral:rRNA from 1 species
UACGUAGGUGGCGAGCGUUAUCCGGAAUUAUUGGGCGUAAAGCGCGCGCAGGCGGUUCCUUAAUUCUGAUGUGAAAGCCCACGGCUCAACCGUGGAGGGUCAUUGGAAACUGGGGAACUUGAGUGCAGAAGAGAAGAGCGGAAUUCCACGUGUAGCGGUGAAAUGCGUAGAGAUGUGGAGGAACACCAGUGGCGAAGGCGGCUCUUUGGUCUGUAACUGACGCUGAGGCGCGAAAGCGUGGGGAGCAAACAGG